GCCCUCCUCGGGUCUUCCCGGUGGCGGCGGGGGGCCGGCGGCGGCUUUGUUGGCGGCCUCUCGGGAGCAACCUUGAGCGCGGGCGCUGCGACAGUGAUUUAGGUGCUGGCAUUGGAGCGUGAAGAUGAAGAAACAAGGCCCAGAGAGGUCAGUCCUGAAGACGUAACCUGGUCAGUGCUGAAGCUGGAGCUCGAAGCCAAGGAGUCUGGUUGGCGUGCCCUUGACCCUGACACCUGGGCCAGCCCAUAUGCACGUCUCCUGGGCUGCGGCCUUCCACAGCCUCCUCAGGGCUCUCUGGAACUUCGAGCCAGCUGCGACCCUGAGCCAAUCCAUCCCUGACUCUUGGAGCCCGGUUUCUGAGGAUCCAGCGAGAAAAUAUGAAGUGCUAGCCCCACCCUGCCUCCUAGAAGC
rnacentral:lncRNA from 1 species